ACCAUGAAGGCUUCGGGCACACUACGAGAGUACAGGGUGGUGGGUCGCUGCCUGCCCACCCCCAAAUGCCACACACCGCCCCUCUACUGCAUGCGAAUCUUUGCACCUAAUCAUGUUGUCGCCAAGUCCGGCUUCUGGUACUUCGUGUCUCAGUUGAAGAAGAUGAAGAAGUCUUCAGGGGAGAUUGUCUACCUUGGGCAGGUGUUUGAGAAGUCCCCUCUUCGGGUGAAGAACUUCGGUAUCUGGCUGCGCUAUGACUCCCGGAGCGGCACCCACAACAUGUACCGGGAAUACUGGGACCUGACCACUGCAGGCGCUGUCACUCAGUGCUGCCCGGCACCGCGCCCGGGCCCACUCCAUCCAGAUCAUGAAAGUGGAGGAGAUCGCAGCCAGCAAGUGCCGCCGGCUGGCCCUCAAGCAGUUCCACGACUCCAAGACCAAGUUCCCGCUGCCCCACCGCGUCCUGCGCCGUCAGCACAAGCCACACUUCACCACCAAGAGGCCCAACACUUUCUUCUAGGUGUGGGGCCCUUUUUUCGCCCAGGUGUGCCCCAAAUAAACUCAGGAAUGCCCCGGUG